rnacentral:rRNA from 1 species
AGUGAACGCUGGCGGUAGGCCUAACACAUGCCAGUCGAACGGCAGCACAGUAAGAGCUUGCUCUUACGGGUGGCGAGUGGCGGACGGGUGAGGAAUACAUCGGAAUCUACUUUUUCGUGGGGGAUAACGUAGGGAAACUUACGCUAAUACCGCAUAUGACCUACGGGUGAAAGCAGGGGAUCUUCGGACCUUGCGCGAUUGAAUGAGCCGAUGUCGGAUUAGCUAGUUGGCGGGGGAAAGGCCCACCAAGGCGACGAUCCGUAGCUGGUCUGAGAGGAUGAUCAGCCACACUGGAACUUAGACACGGUCCAGACUCCUACGGGAGGCAGCAGUGGGGAAUAGUAGACAAUGGGCGCAAGCCUGAUCCAGCCAUACCGCGUGGGUGAAGAAGGCCUUCGGGUUGUAAAGCCCUUUUGUUGGGAAAGAAAAGCAGCAGGUUAAUACCCCGCUGUUCUGACGGUACCCAAAGAAUAAGCACCGGCUAACUUCGUG